rnacentral:rRNA from 1 species
GACGAACGCUGGCGGCAUGCCUAAUACAUGCAAGUCGAGCGAACAGAUGGAGUGCUUGCACUUCUGACGUUAGCGGCGAACGGGUGAGUAACACGUAAGGAAUCUACCUAUAAGCGGGGGAUAACAUUCGGAAACGGGUGCUAAUACCGCAUAAUAUCUUCUUCCGCAUGGAAGAAGAUUGAAAGACGGCUCUGCUGUCACUUUUAGAUGACCCUGCGGUGAAUUAGUUAGUUGGUGGGGUAACGGCCUACCCAGACGAUGAUGCAUAGCCGACCUGAGAGGGUGAUCGGCCACAUUGGGACUGAGACACGGCCCAAACUCCUACGGGAGGCAGCAGUAGGGAAUCUUCCGCAAUGGGCGAAAGCCUGACGGAGCAAUGCCGCGUGAGUGAAGAAGGCCUUCGGGUCGUAAAACUCUGUUAUAAGAGAAGAACAAAUUGUAGAGUAACUGCUACAGUCUUGACGGUAUCUUAUCAGAAAGCCACGGCUAACUACGUGCCAGCCGCCGCCGUAA